UUGAAUGGGGUCUAGUUUCUUCCUUUUUUUUAUUUUUCCCAUUUUUCCCAAAACCCCCGUUCCUCUCGCUCUCGCCCGCUUCUCGCAUCCCAUCGGUUCUCGGCUUCUCGCCACAACCAAAGGAACUCUUUCUGCUUCCACGCCAUCGUCAAAGUCGCUUUUUACUCUCUAAACUGCCUUCCCUUCUCUUCUUGCUCAAGUGCAGGUUAGCUCAUUGUGCUAACGAGAUAGGUGAAGAUAUCAAAGGUUCUCUUAAUGAUUGUGGAGUUGGAAAUUUCAAGGUUCUCUUCAAUGACCAAAUGAGAGCAAAGUUUGAUUGAUGGGAUAGUUGUUCAUCCAUCAGUUGUUUUUUUA